UUAUAAUUGUAAAACAUUCAUAACAUAAACUUUACCACUUCGGCCAUUUUAAGUGUUAAUUAAAUAGCAUUAAUUACAUUUAAAUUGCAACCAACCACCGCUUCUGUCCAUGUCUAUAACACUUUUUUUUUUAAAUCUCAAAGGGGGACCGCGUGCCUACUGAACACUGCUUUUAGGGUAUCCCUGUUUGUUCCAGCCUCGGAUUGCUAGUCUGUACUCCCGGAGUCUCCAAGCCUGUGACUUUUACAGUAGUCUCAGAGAAACUGUAGCACCCGCUUUUGCAUCUGGCUUUGCUUUCUCAUUUAACGUGAAGAGGCCUUCAGCCAGCGUCUUCUUCCUUUGCAGAGAGAGAGAGAGCUUUUGACCACGGUGUCAGUGACCCAGGGAAGCUAUUAUAGGAGCAAUUUCUGGCACAGUGCAGGGCAGGCGAGCUAGUAUCAGCUUGAAGGAAGGAGCUCUCAGAGGACACCUGCCUGACCGGAUGUCCUUUCCAGCGUGGCCCAUUUCUCUGUGGUUUCUGUGAAUGGAGGCAGCAGAAGGGAGGGGCGACCUGAUAGAUGCUGAGCGGCCUCUGUGGACCUUCGCUUAUUCAUUCCAUCUUGCUGUCAUCUCAAAAGAAGGAAACCUGACCAGGAGGGUGGGUUCUGUCACCAUGACAACAAAACAAACCCACGGAUGAGGAUAAGUAGAGGAAAAGGAUCCUUGGGUGAUGGUGCUUUGCAGGAGGCCUGUGUCUAUACCGCCUUCCCUCACAGAGGCUUUCACCUCCUCGUCCUCAGCUUGGAUUUCCUUCUUCCUCUCUUGCUUUAGACCCAGGGGACAUUGUCCUGGCCAGAGGGAAGUGGCUGUGUUGGGUGACUUGAAUCUGGAAAAUGCUUGGCUUCACAAUCUUCUCAUACGCUGAGAGCAGGGCUCCCGGAAAGACUUAUGGUGGUUCAAGGGCAUCUUGCACAUCAGAUAGCUGUGGAAAGGCUGAUGCUGUCCAAGAGAACUCAAGGCCCAUGAACUGUGCUGUGCUGCACUUGGGGUUACAGGGAGUAAGUAGGCUUGGGUUACUUAUUUUUUGUACUGGUACUGCAGCCUGGAGUGUAGUCUAGGUAUACUAGUUAGAGGGACAGAAUUUAUAGAAUGAGUGAGUGUGUGUGUGUGUGUGUGUGUGUGUGUGUGUGUGUGUGUGUAAAGGGAGGGUUAUAAGAAUGGCUUACAGGCUAUGGUCCAGCUAACCCAACAAUGACUGUCUACCAACAAAAGUUACAAGAAUUUAGUAGUUUUUCAGUCUGUGCAUCAGGGUGAAAGUCUCACUGGUCUUCAGUAUACAUCAGAAUCCCAAAGAAGUCGGCUCUAAUGCCAGUGAAGGAGUGGACUUGCCACUGAGAGUGAGGGCAAGCAGGCAGAGAGCAAAAAGAAGGCAGAGCCUUCUUCCAAGUCCUUAUCUAGGAUUGCCAGCAGAAGGUGUGGCCCAGAUUAAAGGUGGAUCUUCCUGCCUCAAAGAUCUGGAUUAGAAGGGGAUCUUUCCAUGUUAAAUGAUUUAAUUAAGAAAGCCAAACCAACCAAACAAACAAAAAUCCCCAAGCAAGCAAACAAGCAAACAAACGAACAAAAAAAAUCCCUCACAAGUGUGUCCAGUCAUUUGGGUUUUAGUUAAUUCCGGAGGUAGUCAAGUUGACGACCAAGAAUAAAUAGUCUUCACACUAGGCAAAGCACUCUAUCUGAGAACUCCAGAUUCAGGCCUUUUCAAGAUUUAAGGCAGGGUCUUGCUAAGAUGCUCAGCCUGGAUUUGAACUCACUGCAGCCCAGGCAAUGCCUAGAACUUGAGGUCCUCCUGCUUCAACCUUCCAAGUAGCUGGGCAGCAGGCGUGGGCCAUCCACACAGCUCUUUGAGGGUGGAUUGAUUUCAUUCAUUCUUCAUUCAUUCACCUCCUCCUCUUCCUUUUUUGUUUGCCUGCUUGUUUGUUUGUUUUUUAGUAUUUUGGAAUAAAAAAGAUAGCUUUAUUCAGGUUCAUUGUGCUACAUUGGAGACCAGAAAGACAUUUGUAAUUAUUCACAUAGUGUAACAUUUCAAACAACCUAUGCUGAAAAUUGGUAACUGAGUUUCCUCUUACUUUUCUCUGCGAUUUCCCCAACAGACAGGCUGGGAGAGAUCAAUAGAUACAGAGGUACAGCAAUGAGAAACAUUCUGAAACCGUUGAAAGAACAAGGAAUAUCUCUGUGUAUUCAGAGAAUAUUAAAUCAUAUACAAAUGCUUUCCACAACAUAGUCACCUUUUUCUUUAUCUCCUCAAAGACCCCUGAAAUGCAGUGGGAAGGAAACACUCGCCUUGAGGUGAGUGAGCUUUGAGCUGCCGUCUUAGCCUGGAGUUGUGACUCUUUUUACCUCUUACAUCUAGCUCCUUCUCCUGCUUCAGACACCUCCCAGUUCCCAGGUCUACAGAGUCCUGUCCCCUACAAUACUCCCCAGGGGUCCUCCAGGGCUCCUCCCAGUCAGGCUUCAGAACCUUUGACUUUUCUGGCAGGAAGUUCCCACUCAAUGAGCCUUUACUCAAUUUCUCUUUUGUGAAUUCUACCAUCCGUCCCCCCCCCCAAUAACUUACACCUGUUCCAGAGGAAUAGGGCAUAGGAGGCCUCUGUCGCUUUAAUUUGAUGUUCUAGACAGUUUAUGGCUCUCUGACUAGAGGUCUGAUGGGUUUGUGUGUCUGUCAGGGAAGAACAUCCAGGCUGAACUGGGAAGACAGAGUCACUGCUCAGAGCCACCUAAGCAAAUCUCCACAGGUGCAUGCUCUCCCUACAGUGCGAGCCCAGUUCUCUGACAUGAUGCCCUAGUCUCCUGUCAGAUCACCUCUCCUUUGACCAUUGGGUUUAUGUCACUUGGCUUCCUGCCUGUUCAUAGGACCCUACAUGUCCUGGCCAAUGAUGGCAACUUUAAGUGACACUGACUUGUUUUGCCUCACACUCUCUUCUAGGUAUCAUGGGAGAAACAGGUCCUUGAAAAGUUCCCUCCCCAUCCAUCUAACUGCUCCAUUCCCAAGCACCAGGCCUCAUGACUCACCUCCUGUCAACAAAGAAGGCAGUCAAUAUGUAAGCUUCCAAAAUGUUACGUCAGAGCUGAAAGCUGCUCAUGCCUGGGAGUACGAUGGGGGAGCCCAUACAAAGGCACAUAAAGGCCUGCCAGGAUGCUGCCUUCCGGUAAUCCCAACACCCAGGAGACUGAGGCUGGAGAGUCCUGGGUCUGGGAUACAUAGUAAAACCUUGUCUCGAAACAAAACAAAAAGAAAAAAAAAGAAUGAAAACAAACAGAUGUAGGAUUUUUGGCGGUAAACAGAGGAGAGAAACCUGGCAGCUCUAAAGGUUUUGUGCCUGCAGCUGUCAGUACCAGAAACACUCAGCUCAAGCAAGAGAGGUUGUCAUUGCUGGUGCUUGCAAGUCAAAUGGGAAGGGUUCCGGCUGAGCUGCCUCCCGAGGUUGGAUGAUGUCACUAAAGACCCACUUUCUAAUGGCUUUCAGUGGCUUUGUAAACUUACGAUUUCAUUAUUUGAAUCCAGAAGGGAAGAGAGAAAUGCCCUGUUUCUGGUGUUUUCUAGAAAAUUUUUUCUACCCUUAAACUGACUGAGGUGUCUCACGAUCAACUUCCAGCCAAUCACCAUGGCCACAGGUAGGGAAUGUGCUGAUGGAAAGAUCAGGUGGCUCCUAGAAUGGGGGAAGUUGACUCCCUCAGAAAACCACAGGCUUUCAAGUAGAAACCAAGAAAGAAAGCACAGGGACACAUGCUCUGGAAGCCACCACCAAUGUGCAUGUGUUAGAUGGAGCAUGGGAACCAGAAACUGAUCAUCAAAGCAGCUCCCUGGAUGAAUGGAAGGAAAUUACCAGUGUCUGUGUGCAUGAGUGCUGUGGCACUGGGAGCUGGCCUCUGCCAAGAGCAGGGGAGGAACGUUUGGUUGGAAUUUUGCAGUCUUUCUGCCAGUUUUUGGGCAGGUACACAGUUGGGCUGUGAAUACAUGCUUGCAGGUGUCUUUGGAAUGGAUACCAGAGCCACAAGCUGGUGCCUUGCUUGGCCACUCCCAUGGCCAGGGCCCCAUCGUCCCCACACAGGCGUGGCAGCAUGAAUGUCUACUCAUUACAUUUCCUUGUAAUCUGGACAUUAAUCCAAGCUCAAGGAAUGCAAUGUUAACCCACACAAUGCACUAGAAGCAACCUCGAGCCUUCUGGACGUCACGGGUUAGCAGCACAGUCCCCUGUAAGGGCUUGUUUACUUAUGCAAUGCACAGGUUUUACUUGGUUCAAUGUACUGUGUUACAACAACCUAGCAAUUUGCAUGUUCUUCCUGAUUAUCUGGUAAUUAAACCCAGUAAGUACAAACAUACUGUAAUUAUCGUGUAACCGACCAUCUGGACGGAGGGAUGGGAAUAACUGUGUAUUUACGCUAUAACUGUAUGAUAAUUAUGACGUAAUGGAAUGAUCCAAGAAAGAGGAUUUGCCGAGA